rnacentral:rRNA from 1 species
AUUGAACGCUGGCGGAAUGCUUUACACAUGCAGGUCGAACGGCAGCACGGGGGCAGCCCUGGUGGCGAGUGGCGAACGGGUGAGUAAUACAUCGGAACGUGCCCGGUCGUGGGGGAUAACGUAGCGAAAGUUACGCUAAUACCGCAUACGAUCUGAGGAUGAAAGCGGGGGACCUUCGGGCCUCGCGCGAUCGGAGCGGCCGAUGUCAGAUUAGGUAGUUGGUGGGGUAAAGGCCUACCAAGCCGACGAUCUGUAGCUGGUCUGAGAGGACGACCAGCCACACUGGAACUGAGACACGGCCCAGACUCCUACGGGAGGCAGCAGUGGGGAAUUUUGGACAAUGGGCGCAAGCCUGAUCCAGCCAUUCCGCGUGCAGGACGAAGGCCUUCGGGUUGUAAACUGCUUUUGUACGGAACGAAAAGGCUCUGGCUAAUACCUGGGGCUCAUGACGGUACCGUAAGAAUAAGCACCGGCUAACUACGUG